AUGCAAGUCGAACGGUAGCACAGAGAGCUUGCUCUUGGGUGACGAGUGGCGGACGGGUGAGUAAUGUCUGGGAAACUGCCUGAUGGAGGGGGAUAACUACUGGAAACGGUAGCUAAUACCGCAUAACGUCUUCGGACCAAAGUGGGGGACCUUCGGGCCUCACACCAUCGGAUGUGCCCAGAUGGGAUUAGCUAGUAGGUGGGGUAAUGGCUCACCUAGGCGACGAUCCCUAGCUGGUCUGAGAGGAUGACCAGCCACACUGGAACUGAGACACGGUCCAGACUCCUACGGGAGGCAGCAGUGGGGAAUAUUGCACAAUGGGCGCAAGCCUGAUGCAGCCAUGCCGCGUGUAUGAAGAAGGCCUUCGGGUUGUAAAGUACUUUCAGCGGGGAGGAAGGCGAUAAGGUUAAUAACCUUGUCGAUUGACGUUACCCGCAGAAGAAGCACCGGCUAACUCCGUGCCAGCAGCCGCGGUAAUACGGAGGGUGCAAGCGUUAAUCGGAAUUACUGGGCGUAAAGCGCACGC
rnacentral:rRNA from 1 species